GCAUCAGUUCAUUAAUUUUUAAAUAUCCUAACAAAGUCUAACCUUAAUAAAUAUUUUAGUUUCCUUUUAAACAACAUAAGGACCCUGGAAUGCUUUACUUCUAAUCAUUCAACUACCAACUUAUGUUCAUUUUAGUCCAGUAUUUUAGUUCUAUCUUUGAAAAAAAAAAAACAAAACCCAUGCUAUUUUAUAUUGACAAUGUUUUACUUAAGUGUUUAUUAUUUUUUUGCAUUCACCAUUUCUUCUUGAAUAUUUCAGAUCAACCUCUUAGGCUUAUCUUUUUAUUUUUCUGCUUAAAGCAUAUUUGCUAGAAUUUUGUCUGUAGGUAAUUUGUUGAUUUGGCUUGAAUCUCAUUCUGAGUGGCUCACUUUUUUGUGUUUUGGGUGAUUUUAAAAAUUAUUAUUAUAAGCUCAUAGUUUACUGAAUUUAGUCUGUCUGAAUCCUGAGAGCCUAACCUGAAGCAUGGUCUCUGAUACAGAAUCUACAAUUGGUCUUAGAGUUCUAGAGACCUGGCUUAACAUGGGAAUCCCAAGGUUAGCUCCUCUACUUUUUGUCAGACUUGAGGCAACCCUGGAUUUCUGUUUCUCUGUUUGCUUUCUUCCUGGAACUCAUAGGUUUUAGCAGAUGUUUCUUCUUUCCCCUCUUUCUUGGCCCUGAGAGAAUUCUCUCACUUAAAAGUCUAGCAACAUCUUCAAAAGUGUCUUGUGUAGUUAAUGGGCUUUAUAGUAUAUAUCCCACCAUUCUCCUGCUCCAUACAUUUUAAGAACCUCAUUCUGUAUUCUUGGCGGAGGCAGUCACUUGGGUAUUUAAUUAAAACAAAAAUUUUUUUUUCAAGUAAAAUCACUGUAACAGUGUUUUUUAAAAUUGAGGGAUGCAAAAUUAAUUUUAUGGGUCAUAAGAAGCACUAGAAAAUGAGGAGAAUAAAAGGAGAAUAAAAAAUAUCAGUCUUUUAUAAGUAGCAAAGUUAAAAUUAUCUCCUGAAACAUUGUAUUUGAUUAUAUAUUUACAUGUACUAUUAAUAACUUGUGAUAUAAAACAUAUUUCUUACUGCUGUCACGGGCAAUUUUUUUGUGUAAAGCAAUUGCCUAGAGCACAUAACUCUGAAACACAUAACUCAAUGACCCCAGGAUCCAUACAAUGGACAGAUGACCCAAGGCUUCUUCAAGAAGAGAACCUUAGUCUGGCCCUCGCUGGGUCCAUCUCUGUAAUAAGGCCACUGCUUGACUAGGUAGCUACUGAGGCUGGAAAUAGAGGUGACUACAUAAUAAAUGGAUUAUUGCCGUUUGUUGAGAGAGGCAGUCUGCUGUAAAUCUUGAGCAUUCCUGCAUGUCUUCGCUGAGUAUGCCAAACAGCAAGGACUAACCAUCCUAUGAUCCUGGGCCACUCCUGCAACCAGUCAAGUAGAUUACUUGCUUCCUGGGAAAGGGGCUGGCUUGUUGACUGCUUGCUAUAGACGCUGCUGAGUUCCUCUGCUGGGGUACAAUCCACUGUGUGUGCCGCUGCCAUCUGGGUCUCUCAGACCACAUCCCAGCACUUGGAUACAGGGCAACUUGUACCCUGCUGCCGCUCUUGUCAUUUGCUGGGCUGCGAGUAAAAACUCGCUUGCUCUGCUGCACUGAAUCUCACUGUUUACUUUCAGCACAUAGAGCGUGGCAAACCCAUCCAAAUUCCUUGGUUGCUUAGCUACCAGCUUCAGAAUCUUUGCCAUGAAUGGCAUCAAGAUUCGAAAUCAGGAGUGUCUGAAUUUACUAUCUGUGUUCUUUGCAGGACACCUUGCUGUUUCAUUAUCCAAGAAAUAAUUAUUCCUUCUGUUCCUCAGUGGCAAUCAAGAUAAAAACCACAGAGUGGAAGCCAAACUACUUCCCUCUUCCACCCUAAAGGUCACUGCAAUUUUUCUUGUUGUCAUGUAUGCUCCUGCUGCCACCUGCUGGCAGCCUCAGCCAGCCUGCUACUUCUGUGUAAACCCCUUAUCUGUGUGAAGGAAAAGCCAUCUGACUCUAAGGAAAGAGAAACAAGAAGCUCAACGCAGGCAACCAACUGAUCCUCACUGCUCCAAAGAGUAAACACGGCCACAGCAUUGAACUGCUUGUCUGUCCGCCCAGGAGGCACAUGCGGGCCGGCCCCAGUACGUAAAGGAGACAAUGGAGCAUUUGGUCACGGGAUGCAUGUCUCCACAUACGUGACACACAGAUGCGUUUAAAGACAUACAGCGACAUUUGUGGUUUUAAAUCCAUACAGGAGUCGUUUAAAGGGGGCUCCGUAAACCAAUGUUCAUUAAGCAAAGAGAAGAACGGCUGUCCCUCUGCCGGCGCUCAGCUAGUCAGUGGGGAUCCUUGGAGUCUCGAUGCAACUGCAUGGUUCAUUUCGCAUUUCUGAUUAGAAUAAACAUAACAUUUUCCAUGCAA